rnacentral:rRNA from 1 species
CUGAGCGGCGGACGGGGGAGUAACGCGUGGGUAACCUGCUCAUACAGGGGAUAACAGUUGGAAACGGCUGCUAAUACCGCAUAAGCGCACAGUACCGCAUGGUACGGUGUGAAAAACUCCGGUGGUAUGAGAUGGACCCGCGUCUGAUUAGGUAGUUGGUGGGGUAACGGCCUACCAAGCCGACGAUCAGUAGCCGACCUGAGAGGGUGACCGGCCACAUUGGGACUGAGACACGGCCCAA